CGACCCGGAGGACGUGUGGCGUGUUCUGGAGGCCAAGGUGGAGGGGAUGAUUACAAGGGCCAAGGAGGAGUGCAUCGACCCAG
rnacentral:SRP_RNA from 13 species